rnacentral:rRNA from 1 species
UACGUAGGGUGCAAGCGUUGUCCGGAAUUAUUGGGCGUAAAGAGCUCGUAGGCGGUCUGUCGCAUCUGCUGUGAAAACUCAGGGCUUAACCCUGAGCUUGCAGUGGGUACGGGCAGACUAGAGUGCGGUAGGGGAGACUGGAAUUCCUGGUGUAGCGGUGAAAUGCGCAGAUAUCAGGAGGAACACCGGUGGCGAAGGCGGGUCUCUGGGCCGGAACUGACGCUGAGGAGCGAAAGCAUGGGGAGCGAACAGG